rnacentral:rRNA from 1 species
GAUGAACGCUGGCGGCGUGCCUAAUACAUGCAAGUCGAGCGAACGGACGAGAAGCUUGCUUCUCUGAUGUUAGCGGCGGACGGGUGAGUAACACGUGGAUAACCUACCUAUAAGACUGGGAUAACUUCGGGAAACCGGAGCUAAUACCGGAUAAUAUUUUGAACCGCAUGGUUCAAAAGUGAAAGACGGUCUUGCUGUCACUUAUAGAUGGAUCCGCGCUGCAUUAGCUAGUUGGUAAGGUAACGGCUUACCAAGGCAACGAUGCAUAGACGACCUGAGAGAGUGAUCGGCCACAUGGGAAGUGGGACGCGGUCAUUAGUCCUACGGGAGGCAGCAGUAGCGAAUGUGCCGCAAUGGGCGAAAGCCUGACGGAGCAACGCCGCGUGAGUUAUGAAGGUCUUCGGAUCGUAAAACUCUGUUAUGAGUGAAGAACAGAUGUGUAAGGAACUGUGCAGAGCUUGACGGUACCGAAUCAGAAAGCCACGGCUAACUACGUG